CGGGUCUUGUACACACCGCCCGUCACACCAUGGGAGUGGAUGGUACCAGAAGUAGGUAGGUUAACCUUCGGGAGGCCGCUUACCACGGUAUAGUUCAUGACUGGGGUG
rnacentral:rRNA from 1 species